rnacentral:rRNA from 1 species
UAGGAAGGCCGAAAGGUGACCGGACCCUUCGGGGAGCUUGCACAGGUGCUGCAUGGCUGUCGUCAGCUCGUGUCGUGAGAUGUUCGGUUAAGUCCGCUAACGAGCGCAACCCUCGCUGUGUGUUAUAUGUGUCACACGGGACUGCCGGUCUUAAGCCGGAGGAAGGUGGGGAUGAUGUCAAGUCAGCAUGGCCUUUAUAUCCUGGGCUACACACACGCUACAAUGGCCAACACAAUAGGUUGCUAAGCCGCGAGGUGGCGCCAAUCCAUAAAGUUGGUCUCAGUUCAGAUUGUAGGCUGCAACCCGCCUGCAUGAAGAUGGAGUUGCUAGUAACCGCAGGUCAGCUAUACUGCGGUGAAUACGUUCCCGGGGCUU